CGUCACGAUGCACACGUUACAGGUAUCACACAGGUUACCGUAGCGCUCAGAGGACUGCAUAUGACUGUUGCCCAGGCUGGAGAAGAGAUGGUACAAACCGCUGCCUAGUAGCGAUCUGUACGCCAAACUGCUACAAUGGCGGAUCGUGCGUGUCGCCCAAUGUCUGCAGGUGUUCUGCCGGCUACAGGGGAAA